rnacentral:rRNA from 1 species
GACGAACGCUGGCGGCGUGCCUAAUACAUGCAAGUCGAGCGGAGUCUGAAAGGAAGCUUGCUUCCUUUCAGAUUUAGCGGCGGACGGGUGAGUAACACGUAGGCAACCUGCCCUCAAGCCUGGAUAACUACCGGAAACGGUAGCUAAUACCGGAUAAUUUCUUUUUCUCCUGAGGAGAGAAUGAAAGGCGGAGCAAUCUGCUGCUUGGGGAUGGGCCUGCGGCGCAUUAGCUAGUUGGUGGGGUAAUGGCUUACCAAGGCGACGAUGCAUAGCCGAGUUGAGAGACUGAUCGGCCACAUUGGGACUGAGACGCGGCCCAA